GAACGCUGGCGGCAUGCCUAACACAUGCAAGUCGAACGGUAACAGGACGCUGUGAUCCCUUCGGGGUGAACUUGUCGCUGACGAGUGGCGGACGGGUGAGUAACGCGUGGGAAUCUGCCUGGUAGUGGGGGACAACCCGAGGAAACUACGGGCUAAUACCGCAUACGCUCUACGGAGGAAAGCGGGGGAUCUUCGGACCUCGCGCUAUCAGAUGAGCCCGCGUCGGAUUAGCUAGUUGGUGGGGUAAUGGCUCACCAAGGCGACGAUCCGUAGCUGGUCUGAGAGGACGAUCAGCCACACUGGGACUGAGACACGGCCCAGACUCCUACGGGAGGCAGCAGUGGGGAAUAUUGGACAAUGGGGGAAACCCUGAUCCAGCAAUGCCGCGUGUGUGAAGAAGGCCUGCGGGUUGUAAAGCACUUUCAAUUGGGAAGAAAAGCAGACGGCUAAUACCUGUCUGUCUUGACGUUACCUUUACAAGAAGCACCGGCUAACUCCGUG
rnacentral:rRNA from 1 species